ACUUCAGUGAGGUCCUCCUCGGUGAGGGACGGUGCGGUGGGCUCCAUGGUGGAGGCGGGAGAUGGCGCUUCUUCCGGGUCCGGGAGCUCGGGCUGCGCCGCCCCGCCCUGGCUGGGGGCUUCGGCCUCCGGGUAAUGGGGAAGAAGGAGAGGAGGCGGAGCGGGUCGGGAGAAAGACGGCCGCCCCUUCGGGAACAGAGGGACUCGGGGGUCAAACCGUAGCGCUUCCGGCCCCGCCUCUGAGGUCGACGGCGACGCGAAUCUACGCGACGCGACGCGGAGCUCGGAGCAGCGUUCCUUCCCUCUCGUAGAGGCUCAGGCGCAGGCACCGCCCCACGGCGAGGCGCGUCGCUUAGCAGAGCCCGCCCUGUCUCUGCGGCAGCCUAUCGACGCCAGCCCGCGGGCCGAUCCUGUUCCCGCCCCCGACCGGAGCCUUUCGGGUGGCUCCGCCCACAGCGGGCGUUUCCUCAAGCCACGCCUGCGCAGGUCGUCGGGGGAGACUGAUGAAGAGACGACUAUCCCCAGACCGUAUUUUAACUACUAUGGCGCUGUGUAAGAAGCAACCUGAGAAGUGUGGAUGAAAAGCUACAGGUAGAGCCCUGGGCCCAAGACGGUGGCUUGGACAACAUGCUAAAUAAACUAUAAACUAGAUGGUAUUUGAAGCUACGAGAGUAGAUAAAAAUGACAGGAGGACCAAGGAGAAACUUGGGAACGCCAAUGUUUAAGAAACGGGAAAGCAAAAAAAAAAAAAAACACACACAAAAAAACAAUGUAACCAGAGCCACAAAAACCAGAAUCACAGCAAGGGAUUCUGAUGUUUACAUUAUGUCCUGUUUCCAUGUUGACACAUUACACAAGGACAGUUUUUUUCUAAUUGCUUAAUUUUUCAUCAUCUUCCAUCCGAUUUACUGAACCAUCCUUAACUUUAGGAUGAAUCCUUUCAUUUAACAAAUGUGUUUUGAAUGUCCACUAUGUGCCAGACACUGUUCUAGGUGCUAGGAAAACAGCUGUGAACAAAACCAAUAAAAAUCUCUUUCCUCAUG
rnacentral:lncRNA from 10 species